ACAUUCAUUCUUACAACAUACUCGGUGUAUGUUGUAACUGUAAUGUAACUUUUGGUGUAAUGUGUAUUGUUAGCCUGAUGUCUUCUGAGAGUAUCUUUAGCUUUUUAUAGAGACCACGUGAUAUACUAUUAGCAUGUUGAUAAACUUUAUGUGAUCUGAUUAUAUAUGGAUUGUGCUUAUAAAUAAGUAUAAUUCCUCAUCAUUGCCCCCAGCCUACUUCAUUUGGAGUUUUGCUUGAAUUAUUCAGUGAACUUAACCAGUAAAAUGUGAACUUGAGUAAUCAAUAUUGCACUUGCUCCUAGAAGGAUGUGUGAACACGUUUUUGUCCAUCAAAUUAGGUUAAGACAAGAAAUACUACAGCUAAGUUUUAAUAUUACUUUGGCAGGUAUGUACUUUGAAAGACAAAGGCAGUGUUUUCAAGAAUGCUUUUAUUGAUGCUGGUUCUCUGAGCUUAACUCUCUGAUCUCCCUGGAGGUCAAGGACAUCUUUGUUUUCACGUAGCCCUUUGCUGUGGGAUAACCAAGCUGUCUGCUGACAAGAUCAGGCACUUUGAGGUCACUGAAACAUGGGGAAUGUUCUGGUGUCGGAUGCUAGUUCUUCUGCAGCCUGUCCCUCAUCUGCCUCAAAUAUAUCAAGGGAGUAUUUCAAGGAAAUAUCAAGCAAAGAUAAGGAUGCUGCCUGGACCCCUCUGUAACGUCAGCAUAUCAGCAGGUGGAGCGUUGGUAAGAGAGCAGACUGUCAAGUCCCUCCAGCAUUUAGGAAUUGCCAUCCAAGUCCUGCUCAGCUGAUUGCCAUGGAGGAUUAUUUUGUAGCUGAUACACUGCUUGUCCAAGUAACUGGCACCAUGAACCAUGGCAUUAUAAAAUCCCUGUAACAACGGGGGAAGUUGGACUCCCUCAGCUGGAAGCCAGGAAGCACAGGACUGUACUUCUGCCUCAGUGCUCUUACUGUGUUCGGUGUAAACCAUCCCGAAAGUACACUCUCAGUCAGGCUCUGUAAUGUGAGUAUUCUCUUCAUAUUGUUGGAAUGGUUGUUGUGUAACAGCCUCCCUCCUUGAGAUAAUUACAAAGCAACCCUAAACUGCACUGAGUGAUGUUCUUACUGCACAGUUGUUUUCUAUUUGAGGUGUGACAAAGAUCUCACUACACAUAAGUGUCGCAUUCAUGCAUUAC